GACGAACGCUGGCGGCGUGCUUAACACAUGCAAGUCGAACGGAAAGGCCUGCUUUCCCUUGUGGAUUGCGGGUACUCGAGUGGCGAACGGGUGAGUAACACGUGAGUGAUCUGCCCCCAACUUGGGUAUAAGCCUGGGAAACUGGGUCUAAUUCCCGAUAGGACUGCAGGGUGGUGCCUGUGGUGGAAAACGAUUUUCUAGUGGUUGGGGAUGAGCUCGCGGCCUAUCAGCUUGUUGGUGGGGUAAUGGCCUACCAAGGCGGCGACGGGUAGCCGGCCUGAGAGGGGGGACGGCCACAUUGGGACUGAGAUACGGCCCAGACUCCUACGGGAGGCAGCAGUGGGGAAUAUUACACAAUGGGCGGAAGCCUGAUGCAGCGACGCCGCGUGGGGGAUGACGGCCUUCGGGUUGUAAACUCCUUUCGACCGCGAGGAAGCCACCUGGUUGGAAGGGUGGUGACGGUAGUGGUAGAAGAAGCACCGGCUAACUACGUG
rnacentral:rRNA from 1 species